GCACUUUCAGUAGGGACGGAAGGUAGUGUAGUUAACACCUGCAUUAUUUGACGUUACCUACAGAAGAAGCACCGGCUAACUCCGUGCCAGCAGCCGCGGUAAUACGGACGGGGUGCGAGCGUUAAUCGGAAUUACUGGGCGUAAAGACGCAUGCAGGCGGCCUGUUAAGUCAGAUGUGAAAGACCCGGGGCUUAACUCGGAAUUGCAUUUGAAACUGGCAGGACUAGAGUCUUGUAGAGGGGGGUAGGAAUUUCAGGUGUAGCGGUGAAAUAGCGUAGAGAUCUGAAGGAAUACCAGUGGCGAAGGCGGCCCCCUGGACAAAGACUGACGCUCAGAUGCGAAAGCGUGGGGAGCAAACAGGAUUAGAUACCCUGGUAG
rnacentral:rRNA from 1 species